rnacentral:hammerhead_ribozyme from 1 species
AUACAGAUGACGAGUCCUAAAUACGACGAAAUGCGCAUCCUGGAU